UCGGGAAUUUUGGGCAAUGGGCGAAAGCCUGACCCAGCAACGCCGCGUGAAGGAUGAAGUCUCUCGGGAUGUAAACUUCGUAAGAAUAGGAAGAAUAAAUGACGGUACUAUUUAUAAGGUCCGGCUAACUACGUGCCAGCAGCCGCGGUAAUACGUAGGGACCAAGCGUUGUUCGGAUUUACUGGGCGUAAAGGGCGCGUAGGCGGCAUGACAAGUCACUUGUGAAAUCUCUGGGCUUAACCCAGAACGGCCAAGUGAUACUGUCGCGCUAGAGUGCAGAAGGGGCAAUCGGAAUUCUUGGUGUAGCGGUGAAAUGCGUAGAUAUCAAGAGGAACACCUGAGGUGAAGACGGGUUGCUGGGCUGACACUGACGCUGAGGCGCGAAAGCCAGGGGAGCAGACGGGAUUAGAUACCCAAGUAGUCCCUGAGCGGGCUGGCAAGGCGCAU
rnacentral:rRNA from 1 species